GUCUGAUGGAGCAACGCCGCGUGAGUGAAGAAGGGUUUCGGCUCGUAAAGCUCUGUUGGUAGUGAAGAAAGAUAGAGGUAGUAACUGGCCUUUAUUUGACGGUAAUUACUUAGAAAGUCACGGCUAACUACGUGCCAGCAGCCGCGGUAAUACGUAGGUGGCAAGCGUUGUCCGGAUUUAUUGGGCGUAAAGCGAGUGCAGGCGGUUCAAUAAGUCUGAUGUGAAAGCCUUCGGCUCAACCGGAGAAUUGCAUCAGAAACUGUUGAACUUGAGUGCAGAAGAGGAGAGUGGAACUCCAUGUGUAGCGGUGGAAUGCGUAGAUAUAUGGAAGAACACCAGUGGCGAAGGCGGCUCUCUGGUCUGCAACUGACGCUGAGGCUCGAAAGCAUGGGUAGCGAACAGGAUUAGAUACCCUGGUAGUCCAUGCCGUAAACGAUGAGUGCUAAGUGUUGGGAGGUUUCCGCCUCUCAGUGCUGCAGCUAACGCAUUAAGCACUCCGCCUGGGGAGUACGACCGCAAGGUUGAAACUCAAAGGAAUUGACGGGGGCCCGCACAAGCGGUGGAGCAUGUGGUUUAAUUCGAAGCAACGCGAAGAACCUUACCAGGUCUUG
rnacentral:rRNA from 1 species